rnacentral:tRNA from 1 species
GCCCUCGUACUCCAACGGCAGAGAGAGGCGCCUCAAAAGCGCUCCAGUGUGAGUUCGAAUCUCACCGAGGGCACCG